UACGAAGGGGGCUAGCGUUGUUCGGAAUUACUGGGCGUAAAGCGCACGUAGGCGGAUUGUUAAGUCGGGGGUGAAAUCCUGAGGCUCAACCUCAGAACUGCCUUCGAUACUGGCAAUCUCGAGUCCGGAAGAGGUUGGUGGAACAGCUAGUGUAGAGGUGAAAUUCGUAGAUAUUAGCUAGAACACCAGUGGCGAAGGCGGCCAACUGGUCCGGUACUGGACGCUGAGGUGCGAAAAGCGUGGGGAGCAAACAGGGAUUAAGAAACCCCCGGA
rnacentral:rRNA from 1 species